UACGAAGGGGGCUAGCGUUGCUCGGAAUCACUGGGCGUAAAGCGCACGUAGGCGGAUUGCUAAGUCAGGGGUGAAAUCCUGGAGCUCAACUCCAGAACUGCCUUUGAUACUGGCGGUCUCGAGUCCGGGAGAGGUGAGUGGAACUGCGAGUGUAGAGGUGAAAUUCGUAGAUAUUCGCAAGAACACCAGUGGCGAAGGCGGCUCACUGGCCCGGUACUGACGCUGAGGCACGAAAGCGUGGGGAGCAAACAGG
rnacentral:rRNA from 1 species